rnacentral:hammerhead_ribozyme from 1 species
AUCCAACCGAUGAGUUCAAAAUAGGACGAAACAUGCGUCCUGGAU